rnacentral:ncRNA from 1 species
CAUCGUCCGUCACACUAUGGGAGCUGGCCAUGCCCAAGUCGUUACCUUAACCACAAGGAGGGGGAUGCCAAAGGCAAGGCAAGUAAUUAGAGUGAAGUUGUAACAAGGUAGCCGUACUGGAAGGUGAGGCUA